GACGAACGCUGGCGGCGUGCUUAACACAUGCAAGUCGAACGGUGAAGGUGGAGCUUGCUCCGCCGGAUCAGUGGCGAACGGGUGAGUAACACGUGGGCAACCUGCCCCUCACUUCGGGAUAACUCCGGGAAACCGGGGCUAAUACCGAAUACGACCUCCUUGGGCAUCCCGUGAGGUGGAAAGUUUUUCGGUGAGGGAUGGGCCCGCGGCCUAUCAGCUUGUUGGUGGGGUAACGGCUCACCAAGGCGACGACGGGUAGCCGGCCGGAGAGGGCGACCGGCCACACUGGGACUGAGACACGGCCCAGACUCCUACGGGAGGCAGCAGUGGGGAAUAUUGCGCAAUGGGCGAAAGCCUGACGCAGCAACGCCGCGUGCGGGAUGAAGGCCUUCGGGUUGUAAACCGCUUUCAGCAGGGAAGAAGCCGCAAGGUGACGGUACCUGCAGAAGAAGCACCGGCUAACUACGUGCCAGCCGCCGCCGUAA
rnacentral:rRNA from 1 species